rnacentral:rRNA from 1 species
AUGGCUCUUUCCGACAUCCAGUCAUCGAUCAGCUACUGCACACUUACAUUGCAGAUGCUUGACGAACUCGAAAAGAAAUUCGAGAUGCAGGCCGCGAUUCUCCAAUUGACCGCCCCCUGCCUACCUUUGUUCAAGACUGUUCAUGCCUUGUUCUCGCCGGAAUCUCCAUCAACAAGCGCGCCUGUGCAGAGGGCUCGCAGUUCCUUGCCGUCCACUCCGACGAUGACCGCGGCGAUUGUGGCGCCGAUUGUGGCGGUGCUCGAUAGGGCGACCGGGCUCCCAACGGUGACGGUGGCCUUGGGCAUGGUCACGGAGAUGCUCCCGGUGGUCGCAGCGCUGGGCAGUAGCCCUCGCUCAGUUACUUUGCUCAUAUAG